CCCAACAGCUUUUGUGCCAUGGGGUGAUACCGAAGUGGCUGAGAACCCAAAAGCUCAAGCUGAGCUGUUGAGUGGGGUCUGCUGACACGGUGGUGGCUGUUGAUACCCAGCACUGCUGCUCUUGUGGCAUCCUGUGGGAAAAUGUGGGAUCUGUCCCCUCCCCAGACCCAGGGUGCUGCUCACCCUCCUGGAGCCAGUCAGGAGGUGACAGCCCCAUCCUCCCCUCUCCUCUCACCCAGGCUGUCAGAUCCAAGUCAGGGAUAUUUUUCAAGAUCUUUUCAGCCUACCACUGGGCUCUUUUGAUGUGAACUGUCACUGAUCUGGAGUGAUGAUACAGCAAAAGUGUGACAUGAUGGGUUUCUUCACACCUCAGUCAUCCAUCUGUUGAUGAGAACAGUUCCAGAUCAAUUGUGCUGCUGUGCAUAAAACCCUCUAAAAUAAA
rnacentral:lncRNA from 1 species